CUAGGAUGGGUGACCUCUCGG
rnacentral:siRNA from 1 species